AUGGGGGGACCAUCCUCCAAGGCUAAAUACUCAUCAUCGACCGAUAGUGAACCAGUACCGUGAGGGAAAGGCGAAAAGAACCCCGGGAGGGGAGUGAAAUAGAACCUGAAACCUGAUGCAUACAAACAGUGGGAGCACCCUUGUGGUGUGACUGCGUACCUUUUGUAUAAUGGGUCAACGACUUACAUUCAGUAGCGAGCUUAACCGAAUAGGGGAGGCGUAGGGAAACCGAGUCUUAAUAGGGCGAACAGUUGCUGGGUGUAGACCCGAAACCGAGUGAUCUAUCCAUGGCCAGGUUGAAGGUGCCGUAACAGGUACUGGAGGACCGAACCCACGCAUGUUGCAAAAUGCGGGGAUGAGUUGUGGAUAGGGGUGAAAGGCUAAACAAACUCGGAGAUAGCUGGUUCUCCCCGAAAACUAUUUAGGUAGUGCCUCGAGCAAGACACUGAUGGGGGUAAAGCACUGUUAUGGCUAGGGGGUUAUUGCAACUUACCAACCCAUGGCAAACUAAGAAUACCAUCAAGUGGUUCCUCGGGAGACAGACAGCGGGUGCUAACGUCCGUUGUCAAGAGGGAAACAACCCAGACCGCCAGCUAAGGUCCCAAAUGAUAGAUUAAGUGGUAAACGAAGUGGGAAGGCCCAGACAGCCAGGAUGUUGGCUUAGAAGCAGCCAUCAUUUAAAGAAAGCGUAAUAGCUCACUGGUCGAGUCGUCCUGCGCGGAAGAUGUAACGGGGCUCAAAUCUAUAACCGAAGCUGCGGAUGCCAGUUUACUGGCAUGGUAGGGGAGCGUUCUGUAGGCCGAUGAAGGUGCAUUGUAAAGUGUGCUGGAGGUAUCAGAAGUGCGAAUGUUGACAUGAGUAGCGAUAAAGCGGGUGAAAAGCCCGCUCGCCGAAAGCCCAAGGUUUCCUACGCAACGUUCAUCGGCGUAGGGUGAGUCGGCCCCUAAGGCGAGGCAGAGGUAUGCCCUCUAAGGUUAAGGACUUGCUCCGUAAGCCCUGGAGGGUCGCAGAGAAUAGGUGGCUGCGACUGUUUAUUAAAAACACAGCACUCUGCUAACACGAAAGUGGACGUAUAGGGUGUGACGCCUGCCCGGUGCUGGAAGGUUAAUUGAAGAUGUGCAAGCAUCGGAUCGAAGCCCCAGUAAACGGCGGCCGUAACUAUAACGGUCCUAAGGUAGCGAAAUUCCUUGUCGGGUAAGUUCCGACCCGCACGAAUGGCGUAACGAUGGCCACACUGUCUCCUCCCGAGACUCAGCGAAGUUGAAGUGGUUGUGAAGAUGCAAUCUACCCGCUGCUAGACGGAAAGACCCCGUGAACCUUUACUGUAGCUUUGCAUUGGACUUUGAAGUCACUUGUGUAGGAUAGGUGGGAGGCUUUGAAGCAGAGACGCCAGUCUCUGUGGAGCCGUCCUUGAAAUACCACCCUGGUGUCUUUGAGGUUCUAACCCAGACCCGUAAUCCGGGUCGGGGACCGUGCAUGGUAGGCAGUUUGACUGGGGCGGUCUCCUCCCAAAGAGUAACGGAGGAGUUCGAAGGUUACCUAGGUCCGGUCGGAAAUCGGACUGAUAGUGCAAUGGCAAAAGGUAGCUUAACUGCGAGACCGACAAGUCGAGCAGGUGCGAAAGCAGGACAUAGUGAUCCGGUGGUUCUGUAUGGAAGGGCCAUCGCUCAACGGAUAAAAGGUACUCCGGGGAUAACAGGCUGAUUCCGCCCAAGAGUUCAUAUCGACGGCGGAGUUUGGCACCUCGAUGUCGGCUCAUCACAUCCUGGGGCUGUAGUCGGUCCCAAGGGUAUGGCUGUUCGCCAUUUAAAGUGGUACGUGAGCUGGGUUUAAAACGUCGUGAGACAGUUUGGUCCCUAUCUGCAGUGGGCGUUGGAAGUUUGACGGGGGCUGCUCCUAGUACGAGAGGACCGGAGUGGACGAACCUCUGGUGUACCGGUUGUAACGCCAGUUGCAUAGCCGGGUAGCUAAGUUCGGAAGAGAUAAGCGCUGAAAGCAUCUAAGCGCGAAACUCGCCUGAAGAUGAGACUUCCCUUG
rnacentral:rRNA from 1 species